AACCCCUAUAGGAGUGCGCCAAUACC
rnacentral:piRNA from 1 species